rnacentral:rRNA from 1 species
GACGAACGCUGGCGGCGUGCUUAACACAUGCAAGUCGAGCGGAAAGGCCCUUCGGGGUCCUCGAGCGGCGAACGGGUGAGUAACACGUGAGUAACCUGCCCCAGACUUUGGGAUAACCCUCGGAAACGGGGGCUAAUACCGGAUACGACACAGCUUCGCAUGGGGUCUGUGUGGAAAGUUUGUCGGUUUGGGAUGGGCUCGCGGCCUAUCAGCUUGUUGGUGGGGUGAUGGCCUACCAAGGCGACGACGGGUAGCCGGCCUGAGAGGGCGACCGGCCACACUGGGACUGAGACACGGCCCAGACUCCUACGGGAGGCAGCAGUGGGGAAUAUUGCACAAUGGGCGGAAGCCUGAUGCAGCGACGCCGCGUGAGGGAUGACGGCCUUCGGGUUGUAAACCUCUUUCAGCAGGGACGAAGCGUAAGUGACGGUACCUGCAGAAGAAGCGCCGGCCAACUACGUG